rnacentral:rRNA from 1 species
AAAUCCGGUUGAUCCUGCCGGAGGCGACCGCUAUUGGAGUUCGAUUAAGACAUGCGAGUCAGAGCACUAGCUCGGCAUACCGCUCAGUAACACGUGGGUAACCUGCCCUAUUGUUUCGAAUAACCUCGGGAAACUGAGAACAACACGAUAUAGUCCACUACGCCUGGAACGGUGAGUGGAUAAAGAUAGGAUGGGCCUGCGGCGUAUCAGGUCGUAGGGGGUGUAAAGGACCUCCUAGCCAUCGACGCGUACGGGUGUUGGGAGACAUAGCCCGGAGAUGGAUUCUGAGACACGAAUCCAGNCCCUACGGGGNGCAGCAGNNNCGAAAACUUGGCAAUGCGGUAAACCGUGACCAGGGAACUCCAAGUGGCUGUCCUUUUGGGCAGUCUUUUCUUGACUCUAAAACGGUCUUGGAAUAAGGGGUGGGUAAGGACGGUGCCAGCCGCCGCGGUAAUACCGGCGCCUCAAGUGGUCGUCGCUUUUAUUGGGCCUAAAACGUCCGUAGCCGGUUUGGUACAUUCGUGGGUAAAUCAGCUCGCUCAACGAGCUGAAUUCUGCGAGCACGGCCAGACUAGGGACCGGGAGAGGUGUGGGGAACUCUCAGGGUAGGGGUAAAAUCCUGUCAUCCUGAGAGGACCACCUGUUGCGAAGGCGCCACACUAGAACGGAUCCGACGGUCAGGGACGAAACAUAGGGGCACGAACCGGAUUAGAUACCCGGGUAGUCCUAGGUGUAAACGCUGUGGACUUGAUGUUGGGGACGCUCCGAG